UUAAGCUUCAAAAUGCACACAAAAAAGUUCAGUCAUGGCCUGGGUCGACCUUCACGAGCCAAAGGCCCAGUACGGGUCGAGAAAGCACAUUCUUGCUGCCCAAAUGGCUUCGCUACAGCGAUCGGCCUCUGGUCAUAAAAUACUUCCUGAGCGAUGAGAGUUAUCAUAGGCCGUAUAAAAUUAGGAUUUAAUCAAGUCGCAAUAUAGGUAAAAAAAUUCAGCAGAGAGCGCUAUCUGAGACGCCUGUAUGAUGCCAGCUUCUCCUAGUCGUCAACUGUGGGGGAAAUUAAUGGAUUUCGAUAAUCUAUCUACCUUCCUUUGCGGCCCUCUGUCAGCUACGAACGCAAACGCAACGCUCUGGCUAUUUGGACAAGAAACGCUAGUUGCAAAUUUAAGAAAGCUAAAACAGCAGCUUGGUGCAUUAAGGUUACACGGGUCUCUCAGACUUCAAUAGGCAAUGAGUUCGGACGAACUCCGCGUCAGGACUGUGUGGAAGAGAUACGUCACCUAUCGAUCGGCCUGUUCUCCAGCUCGCUACUACGUCGCCUAUUUUUUCAUGGUAAAGGAAGUGUCGUUUUAUUGAGUGCUGCCGCAAACGGGCAAAUCGAAAGAGUUCAAUCUCGUCACAUUAAGAUCGAAUAAUGCUAAUGAUUAGAUCGGGGUAGCGAAGGGGGGUGUAGGAUGUUUG